CUUUGCAAAAUAAUCAUAAUCUUGGAGCAACCUAGAUGUCAGAACAAGGGAGAGCGGCGAUAGUUUUCACACGUUUUACACCAGUAAAUGUAUCCUAGGGCCUUCACUUGCUUUAAAAUAGCACCUCUCUGUGGACAGGAAGUGGGGUGUGUAUGGACAGGAAGUAGCUGAGAUGAGCUGGAGACGGCCGUCUGCACAGAAAUGUCAAGAGUCACACACAACACUAGUCACAACUCAGCAGUUGAAAGAACAUGGCUUUGAUGUCUCAGCAAAGAUGCCUUUUUUACGUAAGUAUUCUCUCCCUCUCUCUGUGCCAUCUGCGGACACUUUUGAAAGUCUCCAUGGAGAGUCUCUGAGUCACAUUCAUUUACCUGCUGCGUUCAUAUAAUGUAUGUGUCUGUGUGUGUGUGUGUUGGAAGGACAAUGUGGACGGAGAAGAAUCCCAGGAAAUGCUCCUUUCUCUGCACUUUGUUCAGGACAGGAAAUAAGUUGUUGCAUGCUCAUUGAAUACUGUAAUAACACACAUACAGAGACAUAUGGACUCAAACAAACUCUUGAUACACUCCCUGAAUGGUUGACAGAGGCGCCUGUCUGAAGCUGAAGGAGUAUAAUGGACUGAAAGAGACAUUCACACAAAGCAUCUACACGCAUGCACAGGGAAAACACAGUUGUAGUCUUCUGAGUCAAGACGUCUCCCUUUUGUCUAAUGAAUGCCACACCUAAAAACACACUUACUGCAAUGGAGUCAAGAUGUCUGCCUCUCUCUAGGUUCUUUAACAGUCACAUCUUCAAAAUGAACAUGCCCUCCAUCCAUUAGCUUACCCAAAGAAGAGUAAAUAUAUCCUUUGUUUUUGUUAAGCAAAAUGUGUCCAAUAAUUGCAAGUAUAUAUGGCCUUGAGAUUGAACUCCCGAUCAGUCUCAGUCACCAUUAACUUUCACUGUAUGGAAAAAAUGCAAUUGCCGGGCCAGUUUUGCCAUUAAGAACUGGACCAGGCAACUGAAGAGAAUUAUCAUCAUUGUUAUAAGCUUCAGAUUAAGGCACAUACUAGCUAUUUAUGUUAUAAAGUUAGAUUGUUAUGUAUUUUAUAACAGGUUCUGAAUUUGGUGCGGGAUUGUAUUGCACAGUGUAAAACGUUCCUGAAAGUUUGGCCUUCAUAAUGCGGGAAUUCCUGCACAAAUCACACAAACUAUAACAUGCUGGGGAAACAUAGUCAAAUUAAUCCCUGCAGAUGAACAAAUAAAAUCAAUAAUUGUAUCUUUAA